rnacentral:misc_RNA from 1 species
AACGGUCUAUACCUGCGGUACCUGCGGAGGGAUCAUUAGUGAACGCCCUCACGGGCUUAUAACUAUUCCAAACCUCUGUGAACCGUGCCCUUCGGGGCUAUUUUACAAACAUGGUGUAAUGAACGUCAUAUAUCAUAACAAAACAAAACUUUUAGCAAUGGAUCUCU